GACGAACGCUGGCGGCGUGCUUAACACAUGCAAGUCGAACGGAAAGGCCCUGCUUUUGUGGGGUUCUCGAGUGGCGAACGGGUGAGUAACACGUGAGUAACCUGCCCUUGACUUUGGUAUAACUUCAGGAAACUGGGGCUAAUACCGGAUCGGAGCUCCUGCUGCAUGGUGGGGGUUGGAACGUUUCGGCGGUUGGGGAUGGACUCGCGGCUUAUCAGCUUGUUGGUGGGGUAGUGGCUUACCAAGGCUUUGACGGGUAGCAGGCCUGAGAGGGUGACCGGCCACAUUGGGACUGAGAUACGGCCCAGACUCCUACGGGAGGCAGCAGUGGGGAAUAUUGCACAAUGGGCGGAAGCCUGAUGCAACAACGCCGCGUGCGGGAUGACGGCCUUCGGGUUGUAAACCGCUUUCGCCUUUGACGAAGCGUGAGUGACGGUAAUGGGUAAAGAAGCACCGGCUAACUACGUG
rnacentral:rRNA from 1 species